GACGAACGCUGGCGGCGUGCCUAAUACAUGCAAGUUGAGCGAUGAAGAUUGGUGCUUGCCCCAAUUUGAAGAGCAGCGAACGGGUGAGUAACGCGUGGGGAAUCUGCCUUUGAGCGGGGGACAACAUUUGGAAACGAAUGCUAAUACCGCAUAACAACUUUAAACAUAAGUUUUAAGUUUGAAAGAUGCAAUUGCAUCACUCAAAGAUGAUCCCGCGUUGUAUUAGCUAGUUGGUGAGGUAAAGGCUCACCAAGGCGAUGAUACAUAGCCGACCUGAGAGGGUGAUCGGCCACAUUGGGACUGAGACACGGCCCAAACUCCUACGGGAGGCAGCAGUAGGGAAUCUUCGGCAAUGGACGAAAGUCUGACCGAGCAACGCCGCGUGAGUGAAGAAGGGUUUCGGAUCGUAAAACUCUGUUGGUAGAGAAGAACGUUGGUGAGAGUGGAAAGCUCAUCAAGUGACGGUAACUACCCAGAAAGGGACGGCUAACUACGUG
rnacentral:rRNA from 1 species